ACUACGGGUGGCAGCAGUGGGGGAUAUUGCACAAUGGGCGAAAGCCUGAUGCAGCAACGCCGCGUGGGUGAAGAAGCGCCUCUGCUCGUAAAGCUCUGUCCUCAAGGAAGAAAAUGACGGUACUUGAAGAGGAAGCCCCGGCUAACUACGUGCCAGCAGCCGCGGUAAUACGUAGGGGGCAAGCGUUAUCCGGAUUUACUGGGGGUAAAGGGUGCGUAGGCGGCGUUUCAAGCCAGGAGUGAAAGGCUACGGCUAAACCCGUGUAAGCUCUGGAAACUGGGAGGCUUGAGUGCAGGAGGGGCGGGCGGAAUUCCUGGUGUAGCGGUGAAAUGCGUAGAUAUCAGGAGGAACACCAGUGGCGAAGGCGGCUCGCUGGACUGUAACUGACGUUGAGGCCCGAAAGCGUGGGGAGCAAACAGGAUUAGAUACCCGUGUAGUC
rnacentral:rRNA from 1 species